GACGAACGCUGGCGGCGUGCUUAACACAUGCAAGUCGAACGGAAAGGCACUGCUUUUGUGGGGUGCUCGAGUGGCGAACGGGUGAGUAACACGUGAGUAACCUGCCCUUGACUUUGGGAUAACUUCAGGAAACUGGGGCUAAUACCGGAUAGGAGAUCCUGCUGCAUGGUGGGGGUUGGAAAGUUUCGGCGGUUGGGGAUGGACUCGCGGCUUAUCAGCUUGUUGGUGGGGUAGUGGCUUACCAAGGCUUUGACGGGUAGCCGGCCUGAGAGGGUGACCGGCCACAAUGGGACUAAGAUACGGCCCAGACUCCUACGGUAGGCAGCAGGGGGGAAUAUUGCACAAUGGUCGGAAGCCUGAUGCAGCAACGCCGCGUGCGGGAUGACGGCCUUCUGGUUGUAAACCGCUUUCGCCUGUGACGAAGCGUGAGUGACGGUAAUGGGUAAAGAAGCACCGGCUAACUACGUG
rnacentral:rRNA from 1 species